rnacentral:rRNA from 1 species
GAAUUCACUAGUGAUUUCUGGUUGAUCCUGCCGGACCCGACUGCUAUCAGAGUGGGACUAAGCCAUGCGAGUCAACGUAGUAAUACGUGGCAUACGGCUCAGUAACACGUAGUCAACAUGCCCAGGGGACGUGGAUAACCUCGGGAAACUGAGGAUAAACCGCGAUAGGCCAUAAUUCCUGGAAUGGUUUAUGACUGAAACCUACAUGGCCCCUGGAUUGGACUGCGGCCGAUCAGGCUGUUGGUGAGGUAAUGGCCCACCAAACCUGUAACCGGUACGGGCUCUGAGAGGAGAAGCCCGGAGAUGGGCACUGAGACAAGGGCCCAGGCCCUAUGGGGCGCAGCAGGCGCGAAACCUCUGCAAUAGGCGAAAGCCUGACAGGGUUACUCUGAGUGGUUCCCGCUAAGGGGAUCUUUUGGCACCUCUAAAAAUGGUGCAGAAUAAGGGGUGGGCAAGCCUGGUGUCAGCCGCCGCGGUAAUACCAGCACCCCGAGUGGUCGGGACGAUUAUUGGGCCUAAAGCAUCCGUAGCCGGUCAUGCAAGUCUUCCGUUAAAUCCACCCGCUCAACGGUUGGGCUGCGGAGGAUACUACGUGGCUAGGAGGCGGGAGAGGCAAGCGGUACUCAGUGGGCAGGGGUAAAAUCCUUUGAUCAAUCGAAUUCCCGCGGCC